GAGCGCAUUCAGCAUUCUGUAAUAGAGAGCACACAGCAUUCUGUGAUAGAGCGCAUUCAGCAUUCUGUGAUAGAGCACACACAGCAUUCUGUAAUAGAGAGCACACAGCGUUCUAUGAUAGAGCGCACUCAGCAUUCUGUGACAGGGCGCACACAGCGUUCUAUGAUAGAGCGCACUCAGCAUUCUGUGACAGGGCGCACACAGCAUUCUGUGAUAGACAGCACACAGCAUUCUGUAAUAUAGAGCACACUAAGCAUUCUGUAAUAUAAAGAGAACACAGUAUUCUAUGAUAGAGCGC